rnacentral:rRNA from 1 species
UGCGUAGGCGGUUUGGUAAGUCUUGUGUGAAAUCUUCGGGCUCAACUCGAAGUCUGCACGAGAAACUGCCGGGCUUGAGUGUGGGAGAGGUGAGUGGAAUUUCCGGUGUAGCGGUGAAAUGCGUAGAUAUCGGAAGGAACACCUGUGGCGAAAGCGGCUCACUGGACCAUAACUGACGCUGAUGCACGAAAGCUAGGGGAGCAAACAGGAUUAGAUACCCUGGUAGUCCUAGCCCUAAACGAUGAUCGCUUGGUGUGACGGGUACCCAAUCCCGCCGUGCCGCAGCUAACGCGUUAAAGCGAUCCGCCUGGGGAGUACGGUCGCAAGGCUGAA